rnacentral:rRNA from 1 species
UAAUUGAAGAGUUUGAUCAUGGCUCAGAUUGAACGCUGGCGGCAGGCCUAACACAUGCAAGUCGAGCGGCAGCACAAGGGAGUCUACUCCUGAGGUGGCGAGCGGCGGACGGGUGAGUAAUGCCUAGGGAUCUGCCCAGUCGAGGGGGAUAACAGUUGGAAACGACUGCUAAUACCGCAUACGCCCUACGGGGGAAAGGAGGGGACCUUCG